rfam:Myotis brandtii contig195783, whole genome shotgun sequence.
GGCAGUUCUCAGGUGAUGCACCCUGGAAUCAGGCUCCCUCCUCUCUGGUUCCAGGUGUGUCACCCAAGAACCACA